ACGUACAUUUUGUAUUUCUACAUCACUUUUAUUCACUACAGAACACCUGACAUUCAUUUCACACAGCUGAUGCAUAGUGUUAGUCUGGUCACAAUCAUUUCAGACUUACAGAUGCUGUAUGAAGAUCAGGAAAAUGAGGAAGCAAUUGUUGGUCUCCAUUCUGAUGCUGAGGAACUAGACUAUGUUCUACAGGCUCAAGAUGGAGUUGUGGAGCUGAGGGCAAAGGAGAAUGAAGAGAAGAGCCGACAAGAACUGCAGAAGAUGAAAGAAAUGUUCUUUCUGUACGAUGACUAUCAGGAGCCCAGUGAGGAGGUGAGUGGGAAUCAGAACUCAGACUGGAGAAAGAGAAUCUGCUAAAUCCUGAGCUCUUUGAAUCGCUGGUACAGGAGAAGAGUUUCAGUGCUGACCUCAAUAUCCAGCUCUGCAAAACAAAGAAGACUCUACAGGCUACAGAGUUUACAGACGCACUGGAGAGAACUUCAGGAGAGACACAAUGAGGUCAAAGCAAAGCUGACGGCUUCUUUGACGGCUUGAACAGACUCAACAAUUCACCAAACUGUGCGGGCGCAUCAGGUCCUGGUGAAAAUGUACGUAUUGUGGAGUAACUCGAAAUGGUUGUGGCAAAAUGGCCCAACAAUUAGGGGCCGGAGUGUAGGAGCAAUUUCAUUAGUUUGAUAUAUUUUGAUUAUUAUUAUUUGUUAUUUUUGCAUUGAUAUUUUAAGACACUAGGCAUUAGACCAGGUAGGAUUCAUAGUAAAGGUAGCAGGUGUGUUAAUGAGGGGAAGCACCAGAAAGGGGAAAUGGUUUUUUUACCAGAGCACGAGGAGAAGCACGUGUAUAUCUUUGUUUCUGAACGUUAAAAUAAAUCUACCCAACCGUGAACUCAGUGUGGACAAUGGACGUCUUUAAUUGCCUGAGUACAACGCAACGCGACUGGUGCCUCAGUGGCUUUUGGUUAAGUUUAAUUUGACAGAAACAUCCUUUGGACAAAUAGCCACUACAGUUAUUGUUAUUAUCAUUAUUAUUAUUAGACAAGACUUUUAUUAAUGUAUAAUCAAUAAAGGAAAGAAACUGAAUGGGUAAAAUGAACUGAAAUUGAGAUUAUACAGGUAGAUUAAAAUUAUAUAUUUUUUGUACAGACUAUGGAUUAUAGACGGAUGAAAAUUAGAUGUUAUUGUUUUU